UACGUAGGGUGCGAGCGUUGUCCGGAAUUACUGGGCGUAAAGAGCUCGUAGGUGGUUUGUCACGUCGUCUGUGAAAUUCCGGGGCUUAACUUCGGGCGUGCAGGCGAUACGGGCAAUACUUGAGUGCUGUAGGGGAGACUGGAAUUCCUGGUGUAGCGGUGAAAUGCGCAGAUAUCAGGAGGAACACCAAUGGCGAAGGCAGGUCUCUGGGCAGUUACUGACGCUGAGGAGCGAAAGCAUGGGUAGCGAACAGGAUUAGAUA
rnacentral:rRNA from 1 species